rnacentral:rRNA from 1 species
AGGGUUUGAUUCUGGCUCAGGAUGAACGCUGGCGGCGUGCUUAACACAUGCAAGUCGAACGGAGUAAGAAAGCUUGCUUUUUUACUUAGUGGCGGACGGGUGAGUAACGCGUGAGCAAUCUGCCCAUACCAGGGGAAUAACACAUAGAAAUGUGUGCUAAUACCGCAUAAGACCACAGAGAGGCAUCUCUCAGUGGUAAAAGAUUUAUCGGGUAUGGAUGAGCUCGCGUCCCAUUAGAUAGUUGGUGAGGUAACGGCCCACCAAGUCUGCGAUGGGUAGCCGACCUGAGAGGGUGAUCGGCCACAUUGGAACUGAGAAACGGUCCAG